rnacentral:rRNA from 1 species
GACGAACGCUGGCGGCGUGCUUAACACAUGCAAGUCGAGCGGUAAGGCCCUUCGGGGUACACGAGCGGCGAACGGGUGAGUAACACGUGGGUGAUCUGCCUCGCACUUCGGGAUAAGCCUGGGAAACUGGGUCUAAUACCGGAUAUGACCUGCUGUCGCAUGGCGGUGGGUGGAAAGAUUUAUCGGUGCGAGAUGGGCCCGCGGCCUAUCAGCUUGUUGGUGGGGUAAUGGCCUACCAAGGCGACGACGGGUAGCCGGCCUGAGAGGGCGACCGGCCACACUGGGACUGAGACACGGCCCAGACUCCUACGGGAGGCAGCAGUGGGGAAUAUUGCACAAUGGGCGAAAGCCUGAUGCAGCGACGCCGCGUGAGGGAUGACGGCCUUCGGGUUGUAAACCUCUUUCGACAGGGACGAAGCGUAAGUGACGGUACCUGUAGAAGAAGCACCGGCCAACUACGUG